rnacentral:tRNA from 1 species
GGCGCCGUGGCCGAGUGGUUAGGCAGCGGCCUGCAAAGCCGCGUACACCGGUUCGACUCCGGUCGGCGCCU